ensembl:lncRNA
GUGAGGGGAGACGGAAACACCUGGUGGGGGAUGGAGACACCUGGUGGGGGUGGAGACCAGCACAAAGACAGGUGAGGGGAGACGGAGACACCUGGUGGGGAUGGAGACACCUGGUGGGGGGUGGAGACAGGCACAAAGACAGGUGAGGGGAGACGGAGACACCUGGUGGGGGGUGGAGACAAGCACAAAGACAGGUGAGGGGAGACGGAGACACCUGGUGGGGGGUGGAGACAGGCACAAAGACAGGUGAGGGGAGAUGGAGACACCUGGUGGGGGGUGGAGACAAGCACAAAGACAGGUGAGGGGAGAUGGAGACACCUGGUGGGGGGUGGAGACAGGCACAAAGACAGGUGAGGGGAGAUGGAGACACCUGGUGGGGGGUGGAGACCAGCACAAAGACAGGUGAGGGGAGAUGGAGACACCUGGUGGGGGGGGACAAACA